UAGGGAAUUUUCCACAAUGGGCGAAAGCCUGAUGGAGCAACGCCGCGUGCAGGAUGAAGGCCCUCGGGUCGUAAACUGCUUUUAUCUGUGACGAUUAUGACGGUAGCAGAUGAAUAAGGAUCGGCUAACUCCGUGCCAGCAGCCGCGGUCAUACGGAGGAUCCAAGCGUUAUCCGGAAUUACUGGGCGUAAAGAGUUGCGUAGGUGGCAGAGUAAGCAAAUAGUGAAAGCGUGAGGCUCAACCUCAUACACAUUAUUUGAACUGCUCAGCUUGAGUAUGGGAGAGGUAGAUGGAAUUCCCUGUGUAGGAGUGAAAUCCGUAGAUAUAGGGAGGAACACCGAUGGCGUAGGCAGUCUACUGGCCCAUUACUGACACUAAGGCACGAAAGCGUGGGGAGCAAACGGG
rnacentral:rRNA from 1 species